GGUUGCGAUCAUACCAGCACUAAUGCACCGGAUCCCAUCAGAACUCCGCAGUUAAGCGUGCUCGGGCGAGAGUAGUACUAGGAUGGGUGACCCCUUGGGAAGUUCUCGUGUUGCAACCC
rnacentral:rRNA from 1 species